UACGUAGGGCGCAAGCGUUGUCCGGAAUUAUUGGGCGUAAAGAGCUCGUAGGCGGCUUGUCACGUCGGGUGUGAAAGCCCGGGGCUUAACCCCGGGUCUGCAUUCGAUACGGGCUAGCUAGAGUGUGGUAGGGGAGAUCGGAAUUCCUGGUGUAGCGGUGAAAUGCGCAGAUAUCAGGAGGAACACCGGUGGCGAAGGCGGUUCUCUGGGCAUGUCCUGACGCUGAGGAGCGAAAGUGUGGGGAGCGAACAGG
rnacentral:rRNA from 1 species